AUUGAACGCUGGCGGCAGGCCUCACACAUGCAAGUCGACCGAGUGGCGGACGGGUUAGUACUGACUGGGAAAAUGCCUGAGGGAGGGGGAUAACUAAUGGAAACGGUAGCUAAUACCGCAUACCAUCGGAUGUGCCCAGAUGGGAUUAGCUAGUAGGUGGGGUAAAGGCGCACCUAGGCGACGAUCCCUAGCUGGUCUGAGAGGAUGACCAGCCCCCCUGGAAGUGAGACACGGUCCAGGCGCAUCCGGACGGCAGCAUGGGGGCAUAUUGCACAAUGAGCGCAAACCAUAUGCGGCCAUGCCGCGUGUAUGAAGAAGGCCUUCGGGUUGUACAGUACUUUCAGCCGGAAGGCUUUACCAGCAGAAGAAGCACCGGCUAACUCCGUGCCAGCAGCCGCGGUAAUAC
rnacentral:rRNA from 1 species